GGGCCCAUAGCUCAACGGUUAGAGCAGGGGACUCAUAAUCCCUUGGUUACAGGUUCAAAUCCUGUUGGGCCCACCA
rnacentral:tRNA from 1 species